GACGAACGCUGGCGGCGUGCUUAACACAUGCAAGUCGAACGGAAAGGCCCUGCUUUUGUGGGGUUCUCGAUUGGCGAACGGGUGAGUAACACGUGAGUAACCUGCCCUUGACUUUGGGAUAACUUCAGGAAACUGGGGCUAAUACCGUAUAGGAUCUCCUGCUGCAUGGUGGGGGUUGGAAAUUUUCGGCGGUUGGGGAUGGACUCGCGGCUUAUCAGCUUGUUGGUGGGGUAGUGGCUUACCAAGGCUUUGACGGGUAGCCGGCCUGAGAGGGUGACCGGCGACAUUGGGACUGAGAUACGGCGCAGAGUCCUACGGGAGGCAGCAGUGGGGAAUAUUGCACAAUGGGAGGAAGCCUGAUGAAGCAACGCCGCGUGCGGGAUGACGGCCUUCGGGUUGUAAACCGCUUUAGCCUGUGACGAAGCGUGAGUGACGGUAAUGGGUAAAGAAGCACCGGCUAACUACGUG
rnacentral:rRNA from 1 species